UUGAGGGUUACGCGCGAAUGCAUGCUAGCAUUGAAAAAGGAAAGUUUCCUCCAUGCACGUAGAGUGACCUAGAAUUCUAGUACACUCUAAUGCACGUAAGCAAUUAUUCUAGCCUGUCUGCCCAACUGUAAGCUGGGCAAGGUAUACAGGAUCUAAAGCAGCGCAAGCCGCCUGACACCAUCGUCAUGCUUCGUGCACUGCGCCGUCUACUGCGCAACGGGUCCGACUGGUUGGGAGACAGCAGCGGCCUGCAGGACGUCCUGGAUCUCACCGUCUGAGCCACCUGUGACCCAGAAGGUGAUGUCGUCUGCAUAUAGGGAGAAAUGCAGCCCUGGGGUGAUCUUAAAGGAGCGUGGAAGGUGAAGCAUGGUGAGAUUGAAGAGCAGGGGAGAUAGCACGGACCUCUGGGGAAUGCCAAAGCUCCCAAGGUGAUAGAUAGGGGAUUUGUCCGCACCAAUAAAUAUUGUCGCGGUGCAGUUAGAGAGGAAUGUGGAAGUGUAAUUGCGGAUCCUUUCGCUGACCCCCAGGAGGUUUAGCUCCCGAACUAUGAUGCAAUGAUCCACUUUAUUAAAAGCGUCGUGAAGGUCGAGAUACAGAAUUGCUUGUGCGUCCUGAGCAAAGUUGGGUGUCAAGAUUUUGUGCUUCAAGCGAAGCAUAACGUCCUGGCACAAUAGGGAGCGGUGGAAUCCCACCAUCUUUGGUGGAAAGAGGUUGUUGUCCUCAAUAUAUUUAUCGAGGCGGUUGAGCACAAUGUGUUUGAAAGCUUUGCCACUGCAUGAGGUGAGUGAGAUUGGUCUGAAGUUGGAUGUGUUGACGGGUUUGUGGUGUUUGGAAAUAAAGAUGACUUUGGCAUCCUUCCACGAGGAUGGAAGGGUGCCAGUGUCGAAGCAGUAGUUGAAGUAUGUAGUGAUUGCCUUGAUGGAAUUGUCGUGCAGGUGACAGAGAAUUUUGUUAUUAAUGUGGUCGGAGCCAGGAGUGGAAGUCUACGGUGGUUAGCCAACGCGUGGUGCAGCUCGGCUUCUGUGAUAGGUGUAGUUACACCCGGAUUAGGUAUGCCAAUGCAGUGGGGAGUGCAGAAAUGGCAUGCGGGGGGAAGGUGUUUUUCUCGACGGUCGGCAAAGAAUUCCUUUUAAGUUGCCUUUGUGAGCAUGCAAGUUUGCUUAUGUGGUGGUUGAGAUGUGUGUGUGAGGUGGUGGGGUCUAUGAUGUGUCGUAAUAGGUGCCAUGUUCGCUUACUGCCAAGCUGACCACGCAUGCUUUCUCAUAUUUGGCCCCACUGUUGGUAGUCAGCUGGGUGGCAUAUGUUUGAAUUUGGAGAUCAAGCUGAGCAAUUCUAAGUCUCAACCUUCGAUUGUGGCGGCGCUUGUUCCAGCAUUUCAGGAGAGAAGCCUUGGCUUCCCACAUGUGUAGGAGCCGGGCAUCGACUGUGGGGAGCGGUGUGUCUAGAAGGAGAGUUGUGGUGUGUGCCUGUGCACCGGCUUGGAGUUGUUGGACUCAUUUCGUAAUGUCAAUGUCGGCAGGGGCAGACGCCUUGCAGGGCAGAACUGGUCCCAUUUAGUGAGAUUGAGGGGCUUUGGUGCGAGGGGUUUGUAUUGGAAGCAUGAGGUGGUUUGGAUCUUGUAAUGAUCGCUGCUGAGGUUGAUUUGUAAGUUAGCCCAGUUGACGUGCUGGACUCUGUGUGAGUGUUAGGUCAGGGAAAGUGUCUCUGGAAACGCUGUUACCAAGUCGCAUGGGCAUGUCAGUGUCGUUAUGGAGUGAAAGGCAGUGGUUUUGUAUGCGUGCACAGAGGGCUCUGCCCUUGGGUGUACUGCUGGAGUGACCCCAUAAUUGGUUAGGGGCAUUAACGUCUCCUAGAAUUAGGAGGGAGUGUAUAUCGGCAGCAGAGAGGGCAUGAGCGAAUAGUGUGUCGAAUUUGACUGUUUUCUUUAAGGUGACUGUAAACGUUCAGAAUGUAUAAUGCCGGAGUGCGAAUAUUGCGAGGCAGAAUUUCAAUAUAGUCUUGCUCUAUGUCACUGUCCUCGAAUUGAGAGUGGGUGGCGGUUAGGUGUUUAGGUAUGAGUACGGCUGUAUUGGCUUUGGUGUUGCGUUUGGCUUGCAUGAUAUUGUAACUAGGGAAUUGCACGGUUCCGUGGGUUUUCUGUAAAGCGAUGAUGGUUGCAGCCUACGGUGUACUGUUGAAUACUGGCUUUCUUACGGCGAAACCCCCUGCAAUUCCAUUGCCAGACUUUGAUUUCGGAGCAGGCAGGACUACUCGCCAUCGCUCGAAAGGGUGGGUGGGGAGUUAGUUGCGGGCGGAGUGAUGGCUUUGGUGAGAGUGGCUAGUUGUGCCGACGGGACUCAAGAAAGCGAUCGAGUUUGUUAUUAAGGGCGACGAAUUACGCGGUGCAGCUUUGUUGGAAGGUCAUGAAGUUUAGUUGUAGUUGGUGGGCUUUCGUUUCAAGAGUGGCAAUUCUAUCAUUAAAUUCAAGGAGGGCAUCGUCUAGACAAUCUUCCACGCGCGGCGUAUUGGGGGUUUUGCUUUUGUUGGGGGGAGAGGGUAGUGUAGGUGGCAGAGAUUGAGGGGCAACAUUCAUGGGGUGAGGGCGGUUCGGUGGACGUAGGGGUAGGUGGUGGAAGUGAUGGUGUGAGAGGUUGUGAUGAUAGGAAGGUGGCUGGGUAGAUUGAAGUGCUAGUUUUAACUGGUGAAUCUCCUCCCUGAGAGUGGCAUUCUCUCGAAGGAGAGAGGUUUCGAGGUUGGAGGGCUGAGAUGGCGAGGAGCAGGUGGAGGCUACCCUAGCCCAGCUCAGCUGGUGUGAGGAUGUUGCUGGCUUUAAGGGAGGUGGCAGUGGUAGGGUGGGCCAGGCUUCACCCUAGGAGAUGGAGUGUGGCCCUAAGGUCUUGCUGCUGCUCCUGGUGCAGGCUUGGGCAGGGUCUAGGGCCGGGGAUGAGGGUGCUUGUGGGCUUCUGGCCUUGGAGGGAGUGUUUAGGGCUUGUAGCACUGCUUGCACAGCUGGGAGCCUGUAGGGUGCGCACCGUUACAGACGAUGCACCCCGGUUUACAGUCGUGGUUCAUGGAGGGGUCGAAGUUUCCACAAUUCAGGCGUGUGUCUGUGGAGAACUGGCACAUGUCCUGGCGAUGGCCGGCGUUGCGGCAGCGAGUGCAAGCCUCGAUCUUCUGCUGCACAACACUCGUAGUUGAUAAAGUAGGGGAUGUGGUUCCCUUAGAAGGUGAUGAGGAUGGACUCAGUGUUGCCCAGUUGCCUGGCGGAUCCUAUUGUGAGGUCAGGAUUGUAGCUGAUGAGGGUGGGGAGGAUAGCUUGCUCGGGUGUGUUGAUAGGUAGGAGGAUGACGUGGCGACAGGUGUCUGAGGGGUCAGCUAUGUGGGUGGCCACCUUGUAGGUGGUUCCGUUGAAGUUGAGGGUGCGGAUGGUGUUGUAGAAGUCGGCACAGUCAAUAUUUGGAGUGCUCACCAGCAUGUUAUUGCUGAUGUUGACACGAAGUUGGCCUUGAGCAGUGUGGUCGUUGAUGGGUAUGCCGGCGGCCACCUUGAGGAUGAUCUGGCGUAAGAUGCAGGAGUUAAUUUCAGUGCAGUCGAGAUCGCCCUGGAUCCUGUGAAUGAUUUUGUAGUCGUUGGCAGACAACGGUCGAGGUUUUAGUGCUUUCUUGGAUGGACUGUGGUGAUGAUGCUGCUGAUAUGGAAGGUGGCGAGGGUUGUUUAUGUCAGGCAAUGUUGGUGUGCAGCUCACGCAAGCUACAUGCAUCACCGACGCUAGCUGCGUCUCGCUCCGCUCCUCUGUUCAUGCCGGGGAGCUAGGCUUAGCCUGGAGGGUGCCGAGGACAAGCCUGAAAAUGUGCUUUACCCUUCAGAUGGGCCGUCAGAGCUACCGAAAAAUGACUGAAAAUGAUGGCGAUAGCACUCACGAACGUCUGGUAAAAUUUUUGAGGCACUUGGGGUCAUUGGCUGGCCGUCAGGUCGAGGAAAAAAGGGAGCUGAGAUGGACACUGCUUUCCCUGCUCCUGGCCUUGGUGCUGUAGCAUUACUGAUUGUUUAUACAGCAUGCAUAAUCCGAAAAGCUCCGCCCAGAACCGGCGCCCCUGCAUGGACACUCGUAAUGCUGCUUAAGUUUGCAAAGAAAGUGAAAAUAAAUGUGUUUGCACAGCUCUCUCAUUUUAAACAAAUAAUGCCAAUAUAAACACUGCAAGCAGCAUAGACGUGUUUCCACAAGGCCACGUCCGCAGUGCCAGCUCCGUUGACAGCAGCCGAUGGCUAGGAGCUGGCGAGCGUAGCUCGCUGGGCCAUCGAAUCAGACCGGUGGUGCUUGCGAUACGACCGCAUGCAGCUCAUAAUAAAGCACUUAUGUUGGUCAGCGCAAUGUGUACACAAUUAUGUCGCUCUUAAAUUGCCAAACAUUUGAUUUUAUCGACGUCGACAGGCACGAAUGAGUAAGCCAGGCGAGCUUAAGCUGGGUGGUAGUGGUGAAAAGUGCUUAAUCUAUAUAUAGGGUGCCCCAGCUAUCACGCAGCAUGAUUUAAAAAAAGAGGAACGGCGUUACGCGAAGCAAACCUAGUGCGUAUUGAUUCCAGUACAGUGGAGUAGCCGCCAGUAAUUUUUUCGUUAGUGAGAUUUAAUUAGGUAAUUGUAAUUAAUUAUUUAACUCGAGAAGUACUGUCCUAAUUAUCAGAGUGUCAAUGAGAAAGUUGUAGAGCAACAUGAAAAACUCCCAAUACAGCUUUCUGUGGCUCAAUAUGUGCUACAUAAGUGUUUUUCCGAGCGUGAAAGAAGCCCGCGAAUAUACGCAAAGUGCCUCGAGCGGUCAGUCGCGCGGCAAUUCUGCGUGUAUUCGCGGGCUUCUUUCACAUUCAGAAAAACACAUUGAACGAGAGGCUGUCCACUCGUCAAUCCUUGUGUAUGAUUGCAGCCGUGUACCAUACCCCCCUGGAGUGGUUGGGGCCUGCAAUAUCCACGUAGCAGAUGUGUUUCUUAGAGCUAUAGUGGCGGUGCAGGGCAUUCGCCCGCGCCUGGUGCUGGCCAUUAUAACCCUCCUCGUUCGUCUUAGUUGGAAGGGGUUGAACGUAAAGGGCACGCGCCUUCUCCACAUUUUGGGUCCGCGAACUCUUUCCAUCAUAUGGUGGUCAUGUUUGAUAUGUAACCGGUCCUAGCGGCGGCGACCGGACACUAUUUGGGCGAGACGUGUGUAUUGGUUAGUGGAGAUACGCCUCGCGAAAUUCCCGAUAGGUGUUCACCACCCCCAACACGAGAAGAUGCGCGUUGGAAGUGGAGAUCGGGAAGUCGAGGGCUCUCUUGAGCAUUUUGCGAAGUACAACCUCCACUCAAUCGUCGUGUUUCCGUAAGAGGAGGGAGGGAGUCGAGUACAGUACUCUGCUAGUUCAUGUCAUGAGUGUCGUGCACUCUAAUGAGUGUGAUUGCCUUGCCCAGGGCCAAUCGUGUCACCUGCCAUUUCAUAGGCUUGUUACUGGAGCAGUAAUUUCCCAACUCAUCAGUCCCCUUGGGGGUAUGCACAGGCUGUUCAAGCUCGGGGUGGUAUAGCUUAAGCAUAUGCCUCGUGAGGUGGUUCCUAAGAUCAGUGACGGGCGGAUCAGUUUCCUCACACUGAAUCUGUGGGGCGGCCACCUUCCUGUUAAGGGAGGAUACAUAUACCUAAACCCGCUUGGGCCUAACCAGGCAAGCAGUCUUCACACAUUGUCUGCAGAAACAGCAUAGCUGUGCAUGCAGUAAAUAAUUUUGCAAGGAGACUACUGAAGCUGAAAGGGGAGAGCCAUCACUAUAGUCUCACUAUUGGCUAUGUACCAGUGUAAAUACACCUUUUAAAUAGUCAAAUCUUGUGUUUUCAUUACAUUACAUUUUUGGCCGAGGUGCUGGUUGUUCCCUGUACCCACCACGGAGCUUCGCAGCUGCCGCUCCAUCGCUGUAGCAACCGUGACUUCCCACCCAUGGAUCCCACCUACGUAACUGUGUCUCCUGCUCGUGAUCCUGGCAUGUUCUCCAGCCACGGUGGUAUCAGCAGUGACAACUGGAUCAACUUUUAUGAUUUGUGUCAGCGCUAACUACAGGUCCUGCAAAACCACAACUUCUUUGCAUCAGCUUGCUUCACUGUAGCACAAGUUCUGCACAGGACGAGUAUAAAAGUCAGUUCCGACCCUUUGGACAUCACCAUGUAAUUCAUACCAGUGGAACUGUUGCAGGCAGUGGUCACAGCAAGUCGUUUUGAUCUCUCCACUGUCUUGUUGUUAGCAGGCAUGGAACAACCUUACUUCAUUUUUCUUCUUGAUUGAAACUGAAACAAGGACAGUGGGACACAUUUGAGCUUCGCUGUAUUGGAAACAGUAUUAGAAUAUGUUUGCUAGGAGAGGCAGCACACUUGACUUGCAUUCGGAUAGUUACUUGCAGGUGUAAGUAGCUGCCAGACAUCACCGAGAAAUAAGGCCGCAUUUUCCGUAUCUGAACUCAACAUUCCAAAAGCCCACUUGACAGGAACUCUGGCUGUACUAUUUCGACAUCAGCAUCUUCAGUGAUGUAAUCAUGGACUAACACCUUGCUGGAGGUAGCCUCCCCAACAUUCCACUUCUAAGAACUAAAAGAAGUACCACAUAAGUAUGCACCAAGAACCAUUUUCUACACUGUGUUACUCAUGUUUAAGUUGGGCCACUUCAGUCAGCUGCACAAAAGGUGUUGUGGCCACUUCAGAAGGCUCCCUUUGCCGUUUUAUCUAUUGCACGGACUUGCACCCUCAUGCCAUGUGCCACAAGAACUUGAGACAGCAUAAACUGCCAGCUAUACUGGUGGUGCUUUCCCAACUUUGGCUGCUUAUUUGUAGAUUGCAGUGCAAGCAUAACGAGUCAAGUCCUUGGCGCAUACGGCGUCAUAUUGCUCGAUGCUUCAUAAGAGUAAAAUGUGCAUAUUUUCAUGGAACAUGGACAAUACCCAGCUACUUGCAUUAGCGCACACGACAGCUUAACUAUGCCCUCCAGUGCCUCGUGCAUUUUGUCAGAUGACAACGAAAUGUGCUUAAUUUUGGCAUUGUGGGAGUCAACUCUGCUUUGGUGUUGUUGCUUGCCAUGAGCUUGUCACAGAGUUGUUUUACCCACAUGUUGGCAAUAUUUUCCCAAUUUUUUUCAAAGUAGGUACAUGCUUGACCAUUAGCGUGCCACAGAGAGUCAGUCUGUGCCUCUUCAAAUUUCUCUGGAGUUGGUGCAUGCACCACUUUACUGAAGCUGGUGACUGGUCUAUCCCUUCUGCUAAACGCGCUAAUUGUCCGGCAACUGUCCCCAACGCCUUCAUACGGGAAAUUGACAGAGCUGCGCUGCAGGUUUUUAAUGAAAUGUUUCCCAUGUUGCAGCUGUUUCUGUAAAGUUUUGGUUCAUGAUGGCAUUAGUGCAAGCUGCGUCAAUUUUAGUGGACGAAAGUUUUUAGCAACUUAGUGACGACAUGUUGUUUUUAAGAUACAAUGAAGGCAUACUGCGACGACAUGACUGGUACCUGCUCCAUCUUCAAACAUGAGCACAAAGAAAAUCAUUUUAUGCUUGUUGGCUUGGUAGGUUGCAUCUGAGGUUAAAAUCUCAGUUUAAACUUAGUUUAAAGCUCUUAGUGUUUGCAAAAAAAAAAAGGCUUGAUGUUGAGGUUGUAUUACCUUUUAGUAAAAAAAAAAAAAAACUCUUUCAAACGAGAUGUUUGCAUCAAUAGAAAGACAAGCUGAGGGAAUAAGCAAGUGUAAAAGCUUCAUAGAUUGAACAUGUUGCCUCGUGCAUAACAGUCAAAUUCAAGGAAGUCAGACAGACAAUUAUGAAAGAUUGCAAUGGUAAUAAUGGCUGCGGCGAAAAGCCUUCGACAUGUGAUCACUUCGUCCGGUGAGGCACAUUUUCCACACCUGUGCACAUCACUGGCCUCAUUAGCAGCAACAGCUACAGGUAGGCUGCAUGUCAUGGAAACACUACUACUCAUCACAUGGACCACUUGACCUUGUUCAGCAUUUUUGCUACAUCCUUGAAGCACAGCACUGCACCAUCUAUACUGACCACAAAGCACAACUAGCUGUCAUUUAUCGGCCACUUUACCACCAACAUCCUGCAUGUCAGCAUGAAGAUUAAUUUGGUCGCUGAUGCACUCUCCUGUGUCUCCACCAUCAAUUCUUCGACCGUCACUAAUGACGUCCUAGCCAAGGCUGAGACAUCUGACACUGAACUGCAGCAACAAGUCAGGGGGGCUCUUUGCUUAAGCUACAGGAACCUCCCUUGCCUUGGUCAGAAACCACUGUCUACCGUGACAUAUCCGCCGGAUGGCCCAGACCUUAUGUGCACUCAUUACAUCGCCGUGGCGUCCUCAACUAUCUGCACGACCUCAGCCAUCUUGGUAUCCACACCUCCAUGCACCUCAUGGCUGACAGCCAUGUUUGGCCUUCCAUGCAGCGUGACUGUCGCACCUGGACUACUGACUGAAAUCUGCACUCAGUGCCAACGUGCCAAAAUACCCGGCACAUCAUUUCACCACUUGGAGCAGUCUCCAAGCCAUUGUACCGCUUCCAACACGUCCACCUUUACAUCAUUGGGCCUUUUCUACCAGCCGGCGCUUAUUGCUAAUGCCUCACAUCAAUCAAUUCAAGCCGUGAGGCUUGAAUUGAUUGAUCUCUUGAAGGUGCCCAGAAAUUUUUCAGUUGCGCUUUUUGUCGCUUUAUGAUUUGGUGGUGAAAAAGAUUGUUCAACUCCAUUCUUUUGCAUGAAGUCUCGAAACUCACUGGAGGUAAACUGACUGCCAUUGUCGGCUACGACUCUCUCCGGAAGCCCAUACCUUGUAAAUAGUGUGUGAAACACUGAUAGUUGCUGCUGAUGUCAAUGACAUCUGGAUUAUUUUUUGCCAUUUUGAUUACGCAUCGAUCAAAAGCAAAAAUGUUCUUCCUUGGAAUAGUCCUGCAAAAUCAGCAGGAAGGCGUUGUCAUCUCUUUUUAGGAUAGUCCCACUGAUGAGUCGGUACCUUAAGAACUUCACUUCUCUCCUCUUCUAGUGACGAGGAGGAGAAGGGUGUUGCCAGAGUAGAUUUCGAUAGUGCUGUUUGAAUUGAAGAUGCAGAUGAAGAGAACGUCCAAGAUGUGGAGUUUACAAGUGUCUGGUGGGACAGUGGAAAAUACUGAGAAAAUAAGUUUGAUAAGCCCUUUCUCUCUCCCCCCUACCCUCCCUUACAUUUCUUUCGGUGGACUGCCCAAAAGCCUCUUGGAUCUGGAUGACAUCCCACCACUGCAUACUUAUUUCUUGAAGUGCAUGACCUAAUUAAUCUUUGAAGUUAUUAGGUCUCCUCGAUUUGGGUGCACUUUCUGCACUAGUUCACAAAGUGCCGUGCCAAUGCAACGCCAGUUCUUGCAGUGUGAGUGUAGCACGACACUAGCGCCUUCGGUACAGCGGUCAAAUUGAGGGCAAAAGUGCAGAAACGUGCACACUUUCGUCUGCUGCGGCUCCUGCUGUUUUGGUUUUGGCUUUUGUCACGUGCGUUCACAUAUGUGCGGUAGUGUACCAGCUUAAUACUCUGCAUUUGUUCGAAAUGGCGUAUGUUUUGGCAGUGGCCAUGGAACUCGUUAACUCUGACAGUGAGGAGGUAUUUGACUCCGCUCUUUGUGUUGCGUUGUGCAAAGUGGCACGGGUCGACCGGCACCGAGUCAGCGGGUACUUUGAACAGGUGACAACUCAAUACCUGGACUUUGAAUUCAAGAGGCUGUUCAGGGUGUCGCUCGACACCUUUGACAGUUUGUGCUCGUGGUUCAGGCUGUCACCGUUCUAACCGAAAAGUGUUUCCGGUUGUCCGCAAAUUCUAAGGCCAGACGACAGCACUGCUUCAUCUAUAAACCGGAAGAAAUGGUCAUCUAUAAUCCUGCAAGCAGUCUGCAACGACCAGAACAGGUUCUUAGACGUCUUUAUUGGCUUCCCUGGUUCUGCACAUGACGCACGCGUGUUGAGAAAAAGUACCUUCUUUGAAGAAGCUGCAGCCAAGUGUGGCGAUAUUUAUAUACUUGGAGAUUCCGCAUACCCCAUGCAGCCUUGGCUUUUGACACCAUACAAAGACAAUGGCUUCAGUUUUCCUACGUGGAAAAAAAAAAUCAACAAAUGUCACAGUCGGCAGAGGGUGGCCAUCGAGAACUCCUUUGGCCUUUUGAAGCAAUGCUUCAGAAGGUUGUAUUUUGUCGAUGCAAAGACAAUUAUGCAGUGUUGUCGCAUUGUUAUGGGAGCAUGUGUGCUUCACAACGUGCGCAAUUCUGAGAGAGAUUUCAUUGCAGAGCUUGCAGACCUGCCUGCUCACGAAGACCUUGGAAAUGACGAAGAACCAAGCGAAAGUGACACAUCCACAUCACAGUGUGAAAGCCAAAGGCGACACUUUGCCCAGCAUCAAUGCUGAGCAAAAGUGCACAUGGGAAUCAUGUGAAAAGAAACUGUUGUACUCAUUUAUUUGCUUCGGCAGCACAUACAAGACGUUCAAGAAGAGUCAUUUUUUUUUUCAUGCUGCUUCUGCUUCGCAGCUAUGGCUUGCUGCAACACAUUUAUCAAGCUGCCAAUUGAUGUGUUCCUGUGGUGGCCACCACCUCUCCUAGAUUGCGUCACUUCAGUGCUGCGGGGCGCUGGUGCCUCCUCAGCUGGUGCAUCCUCAUCUCGACCGUCGUGAGCAGGCCCAUUUUCUGGCAGCAUGCUUUCUCCAUUCCUGUUACUUCCAUUAAUAAAGUUUCAUUAGUAUCAAUAAA